rnacentral:sRNA from 1 species
GUUUAACGCCGUUGGCGAAGCCAGGCUGUCCUAGGAAGCCGAGUGGGAGUGGCACGGAGCUGCUGGAGGUCCUGAGAACCUGAGUUUCGGCAAGCAACCAGGUCUGGAAACUAAUAUUUUAAAAAUGACUACACCAAACAAGACACCUCCUGGUGCUGACCCCAAGCAGUUGGAAAGGACUGGAACAGUACGGGAAAUUGGGUCACAAGCUGUUUGGUCACUCUCAUCUUGCAAACCAGGAUUUGGAGUGGAUCAGUUACGAGAUGACAAUCUAGAAACUUAUUGGCAAUCAGAUGGUUCCCAGCCUCAUUUAGUGAACAUCCAAUUCAGAAGAAAAACAACAGUGAAGACAUUAUGUAUUUAUGCAGACUACAAAUCUGAUGAAAGCUAUACUCCAAGCAAGAUCUCAGUCAGAGUAGGAAAUAAUUUUCACAACCUUCAAGAAAUUCGGGUGGCAGCGUUCCUCCUCUGAAACUAAGACCUCUAGGCCAGCAGAACGUAAUGUCGUGGGAACAGGAAGCAAAAAUGUUGCCAGUGGAUCACCAGGGUUGAUGGUAGUACCAUUUUCACUUCCACCCCUUGAUUCCUGGAACUGUGAAUCCUGACUAUGGGAGAAACAGUACCAUAUAUUGGACCCUGAUUCAGAGCAUACACAGCCUUCUGGAGAACUUUGCCCCAGUCCUGCAAAGUAUUGUCAUCUAGUUGGCAUUGUGAUUGUGACUUCAAAAGGCUAUUCCACCAUUCUGUCUAUCCAGCUGCUUCAGGAUGAUGGGAGAAC